UAAUCAAGAUUUUGCAUCUUUGUUGGUAGC
rnacentral:piRNA from 1 species